UACGUAGGGGGCGAGCGUUGUCCGGAGUUACUGGGCGUAAAGGGCGUGCAGGCGGUGCGGUAAGUUUAGCGUGACAGUCUCCGGCUUAACUGGAGAAGGCCGCUGAAAACUGCUGGACUUGAGGGCCAGAGAGGGACAUAGAAUUCCGGGUGGAGUGGUGAAAUGCGUAGAUAUCCGGAGGAAUACCAAGGCGAAGCAGUGUCCUGGCUGGCAACUGACGCUGAGGCGCGAAAGCUAGGGGAGCGAACAGG
rnacentral:rRNA from 1 species